GCACACACCGCCCGUCAAGCCACCCGAGUUGAGCCUGGGUGAUGGUGCCGUUCUUGCGGCGCUAGAACCUAGGUUCAGCAAGGAGGGCUAAGUCGUAAACAUGUGUUGCGACUCCGGAUCCGUGAGGAACCGGAACAAACCUGGCUAUAUGCGGGGAACUCCGAGGAUCCUGCGAUACAUGCGCGCUUCGCGCGUAUGUAAAAAUGCGCAGGUGCGGACAAUCCGCAGGGAAGGCCGAUCAGAAGAUCGGAACCCUCAGAGACUGCACGCCGGGCUCCGACGCACGUGCGUCGGAUGAUGAUACAGUCCACGCCCCAUGGCGACAUGGGGAGCACGUGAACAAGGUAUCUGUAGGGGAACCUGCAGAUGGAUCACCUCCUAAA
rnacentral:rRNA from 1 species